AGUGCAGAUAGGAACCGUGCUCAGGCUGCCUUUAAAGUCCCCAAGGUCCCCAAGAAGUCAUCAGAGUCCUCUGCUGCACGAAGACCCAACCCGAUUGGUUCCAAGAUCGGAGGUGCGUCUAAGGAUGGAACUGGGGGCAUUGAUGAGGAAGACUUCAUCAAAGCUUUCACUGACGUCCCCACAGUACAGAUCUACUCAUCUCGUGACCUGGAGGAUAACCUGAAUAAGAUCAGGAGAUC